ACAUUGGUGGUUCAGUGGUAGAAUUCUCACCUUCCAUGUAGGAGACCGGGAUUCAACUCCCAGCCAAGGCA
rfam:Loxodonta africana unplaced genomic scaffold scaffold_13, whole genome shotgun sequence.